rnacentral:rRNA from 1 species
CGGCGGACGGGUGAGUAACACGUGGAUAACCUACCUAUAAGACUGGGAUAACUUCGGGAAACCGGAGCUAAUACCGGAUAAUAUAUUGAACCGCAUGGUUCAAUGGUGAAAGACGGUUUUGCUGUCACUUAUAGAUGGAUCCGCGCCGCAUUAGCUAGUUGGUAAGGUAACGGCUUACCAAGGCAACGAUGCGUAGCCGACCUGAGAGGGUGAUCGGCCACACUGGAACUGAGACACGGUCCAGACUCCUACGGGAGGCAGCAGCA